CCUACGGGUGGCAGCAGUGGGGCAUAUUGCACAAUGGGGGAAACCCUGAUGCAGCGACGCCGCGUGUGUGAAGAAGUAUUUCUGUACGUAAAGCUCUAUCAGCAGGGAAGAAAAUCAUGGUACCUGUCUCAGAAUCCCCUGCUAACUACGUGCCAGCAGCCGCGGUAAUACUUAGGGGUCAAGCGUUAUCCGGUUUUACUGGGUGUAAAGGGAGCGUAGACGGCAGCGCAAGUCUGGAGUGAAAUCCCAUGGCUUAACCAUGGAACUGCUAUGGAAACUGUGCAUCUAGAGUGCAGGAGAGGUAAGCGGAAUUGCUAGUGUAGCGGUGAAAUGCGUAGAUAUUAGGAGGAACACCAGUGGCGAAGGCGGCUUACUGGACUGUAACUGACGUUGAGGCUCGAAAGCGUGGGGAGCAAACAGGAUUAGAUUACCCUUGUAGUC
rnacentral:rRNA from 1 species